rnacentral:rRNA from 1 species
GAUGAACGCUAGCGGCAGGCCUAAUACAUGCAAGUCGAACGAUAGAAGAGAGCUUGCUCUCUUCGAAAGUGGCGCACGGGUGCGUAACGCGUAUGCAACCUACCUUAAUCAGGGGGAUAGCCCGAAGAAAUUCGGAUUAACACCGCAUAAAAUCACAGUGCAGCAUUGUACAAUGAUCAAAUAUUUAUAGGAUUAAGAUGGGCAUGCGUGACAUUAGCUAGUUGGCGGGGUAACGGCCCACCAAGGCGACGAUGUCUAGGGGAUCUGAGAGGAUGACCCCCCACACUGGUACUGAGACACGGACCAGACUCCUACGGGAGGCAGCAGUAAGGAAUAUUGGUCAAUGGAGGCAACUCUGAACCAGCCAUGCCGCGUGCAGGAAGACGGCCCUCUGGGUUGUAAACUGCUUUUAUUCGGGAAUAAACCUCAUUACGUGUAGUGAGCUGAAUGUACCGAAGGAAUAAGGAUCGGCUAACUCCGUGCCAGCAGCCGCCGUAA